rnacentral:rRNA from 1 species
UACGUAGGUGGCAAGCGUUGUCCGGAUUUAUUGGGCGUAAAGGGAGCGCAGGCGGUGACUUAAGUCUGAUGUGAAAGCCCACGGCUCAACCGUGGAAGGUCAUUGGAAACUGGGUCACUUGAAUGGAGCAGAGGAGAACGGAAUUCCAUGUGUAGCAGUGAAAUGCGUAGAUAUAUGGAGGAACACCAGUGGCGAAGGCGGCUUCCUGGUCUGUAACUGACACUGAGGCGCGAAAGCGUGGGGAGCAAACAGGAUUAGA